rnacentral:rRNA from 1 species
GAACCGUACAAACGUUAUUCGGAAUCACUGGGCUUAAAGGGUGCGUAGGCGGCUCGCCAAGUUGGGGUGUGAAAUCCCUCGGGCUCAACCGAGGAACUGCGCUCAAAACUGGCGAGCUCGAGGAAGACAGAGGUGAGCGGAACUUAGGGUGGAGCGGUGAAAUGCGUUGAUAUCCUAAGGAACACCAGUAGCGAAGGCGGCUCACUGGGUCUUUUCUGACGCUGAGGCACGAAAGCUAGGGUAGCGAACGGGAUUAGAUACCCCGGUAGUCCUAGCUGUAAACGAUGAGCGCUAGAUCGGAGGGCCCUCCAUAGCUUUCCGGUCGUAGCGAAAGUGUUAAGUGCUCCGCCUGGGGAGUAUGGUCGCAAAGGCUG